rnacentral:tRNA from 1 species
NGCCAGCUCGUCUAAUGGUAGGACUUCGCCCUCUGGAGGCGAAUAUCGGGGUUCGAAUCCCUGGCUGGCAG